rnacentral:sRNA from 1 species
GCCUCUAAUGCAGAAGCAACGAUAUGUGCGUAUGGACAGCUCAGGACUUCAGGAAAGAAACACUGACUUUUGGAAUACCUUGGCAAGCAGCUCCAAUCCGAGCAGCCCCAGACUGCUGCCGCCCGAAGCUAAGCCUGCCUCUGGCCUUCCCCUCCGCCUCAAUGCAGAACCAGUAGUGGGAGCACUGUGUUUAGAGUUAAGAGUGAACACUGUUUGAUUUUACUUGGAAUUUCCUCUGUUAUAUAGCUUUUCCCAAUGCUAAUUUCCAAACAACAACAACAACAACAAAAUAACAUGUUUGCCUGUUAAGUUGUAUAAAAGUAGGUGAUUCUGUAUUUAAAGAAAAUAUUAUUGUUACAUAUACUGCUUGCAAUCUCUGUAUUUAUUGUUCUCUGGAAAUAAAUAUAGUUAUUAAAGGAUUCUCACUCC